rnacentral:tRNA from 1 species
GCCUGGGUGGUUCAGUUGGUUAAGCGUCCGACUGCAGCUCAGGUCAUGAUCUCUGGAUUCAUGGGUUCGAGCCCCAUGUCAGGCU